CCUACGGGGGGCUGCAGUCGAGAAUCUUUCGCAAUGGGCGCAAGCCUGACGAAGCGACGCCGUGUGAGCGAAGAAGGCCCUUGGGUUGUAAAGCUCUUUCGCUUGCGAACAAGAGAGGUUAGUGAAUAACUAGCUGAUUUGAGGGUAGCGAGUAAAGAAGCACCGGCUAACUACGUGCCAGCAGCUGCGGUAAUACGUAGGGUGCAAGCAUUAAUCGGAUUUAUUGGGCGUAAAGGACGCGUAGGCGGAUUUGUAAGUUAGUUGUGAAAGCCCUGAGCUCAACUUAGGAAUGGCAAUUAAUACUGCAGGUCUUGAGGGUAGGCGGCGAUAACGGAAUUCCAUGUGUAGCGGUGAAAUGCGUAGAUAUAUGGAAGAACACCAGUGGCGAAAGCGGUUAUCGAGCUUAUACCUGACGCUGAGGCGUGAAAGCAAGGGGAGCAAACAGGAUUAGAUACCCAUGUAGUC
rnacentral:rRNA from 1 species